GUUUAAAUCAAUUAUUCCAAACGGAGAGAUCUUGCAAUAGCGAUAGUCUCGCCUGCCCUUUUUAUUAAUUUGCAAAUCAACUCAAAGCAGCUAUUUUAAUCUGAAUAAUUAUAUAGCCAAGAAUCUUAUCUUGGCCAACAAUGAUUCCUCCAUUCCGCCACAGCCAAACAAGUGAGGACGGCCUGUUCAAAGCGAAUAUGUCGUAUUUUCAUUGUCGGAUUCGCAGAAGUCAACCGACCAAUCAGUAGAAUGCUAAGUUCGUGUCGUAAGAUGAACGACGGUAGCAGGAUCUGGAUGACAUUUUUUCCAUUGGAUUAGGAAGAUGCUUCUCAUAACACACAGGAGUCCAAUCAACAAAGCAAUCAAACCUCUAUACUAAUAUACUAAUUAGCUGAUCAGAACUGGAAUACCAGUCCAACAUCAUGCCACAUAAAUUAAUAAGAAAUAUAGCAUUUCUUCUCAAUGUAAAUGUGAAGAAAAUCAAGACAAAACUCUUUCUUUGUCCGCCACAAAUGCUGGCCAAGUGGCUCGCUCUCGCUCUCUCUCUCUCUC
rnacentral:lncRNA from 1 species